AAGGGGUUCGUGUAGUGUGAAUCAUCAAUGCAAUGGACACUCGGUUUGACGCUAUAUCUCUCUACCUGCAGCAAUUUUGUUUGCUGUUUAUCAACCUGUUCAGACUCGUGUUGUCGCCAUCAUGGCUUCCAUUGCUUGGGGAAGAGUUCUAGUUGGGACGGUAAGUGGGUCCUUUUCUUCCCUCUUUCUCAACAUUAUUUCUGCACCCCUCAGUUGAAAAACUCAUCAAUCAUCUGAUAAAGCUGCCCCUCCCCCACCCCAGAUAUGUACAUCCCCAGCCGUAAGAUCAAAAUAUCUGCCUUACGGACAUUGAGCUUGGCAACUUGGCUUUGAAACCGUAAUGUUUUUCACUGUACAUGAAUUUAACACGGUUUUUUGGUUACUCCUGAGCACAGAAACAACAGAACACCAGCAAGCCAUAUCAGGACAUCCCUCACUCAGCCACUCCUCCCUCCCUCAACAGAAAACGUUUGACUAGGAUACCCCUAACUUUAACCACAGUGCUGGCUGGAGAAAAAAAGAAAGAGAGAGAAAAGGAGAAACGAAUGGGAAGCACAACCUAUAUCAGAAAGUUUGUGUGUGCAUGAAUUUUAUUUUAUUUAAUUUCAAUUCUUUUCCUCUUUUUUUUUAGUCAAUGGCUUUCUUUAAGUAGCAGAGAGGGUUAAAAAGACGCGUUUCUCAAAGGGGAUGAUGAUGAACAUGAUGAUGAUGAUCACUGUCACACCUGUGUGGCCUAUGGGGCCCCUGAAAUCCCUUAUGCUUUUUCUAAGUUAAUUUUAUGAUUUGAUAUAUGCAAACUUUAUGAAGUGUCUCCCUCUUCCGCCAUUGCUGGUUUCGUCACCCAGGGCGGUUGCUCCAUCCCGCUGAUCCUCAUGUGUUCCUUGGCCUUGGGUUUUUCGGUGUCCUCAAAGUGUGGUUUUUGGUUGCUCUAGACUUUUAAUUUUGCUCUCUUGAAGCUUAGGAAAUUAUGAUAGGUCCUUCAGUCAACGCUUGUUUUCAUGAUAGGUCUUGCCCUCUAUAUUGUGUAAAGGCAUGUGCGAUGCUUUGUGCUCAGAGCUUUUGUGAACUUUGUUGUUUCUUUUUUAUCAGCCACUAGUGCAUGUAAAUGGCAACUUUGAGACUUUUGUACAAGCUUUUCCCAGAUCGGUUGUGAUGUCAUGAAAGUCUUUGGUCUUUGAGACUUUUGCACAACUUUGAGACUUCACAUGGCAUUCUGAUUCUGAAA